rnacentral:rRNA from 1 species
UACGUAGGGUGCGAGCGUUAAUCGGAAUUACUGGGCGUAAAGGGUGCGCAGGCGGUCCUGCAAGUCAGGCGUGAAAUCCCCGGGCUUAACCUGGGAAUGGCACUUGAAACUACGGGACUGGAGUAUGGCAGAGGGAAGUGGAAUUUCCGGUGUAGCGGUGAAAUGCGCAGAUAUCAGGAGGAACACCGGUGGCGAAGGCGGGACUCUGGGCCGAUACUGACGCUGAGGAGCGAAAGCGUGGGGAGCAAACAGG